rnacentral:lncRNA from 1 species
GGUAGGGUCUUGGCCCCCCACUGAUGCAUCUAUAUGGAUGGGGUCCACUCUCCUGAAAGGCGUCAAGUCUCUCUCCAUCCCAUGCUCCAUCUCCUGCUCAGCCUCACCUCCUCAAUUGGGCCACCUGAAGCAGAACCCCCCUCUUCCGUCCGGAUCGAUGCCUUCCCAUCCUCCCCUGAGAUCCUAGUCAAGAAUAAAAAGACAUAGAGGUCGUCAGUGCUAGCUGCUGCCUCCAUACGGAUCUUCGAGGAAGCCAUGACCUUGCCCUUGGCCUUAUUCUUCCUCG